UACGGAGGGUGCAAACGUUGCUCGGAAUCAUUGGGCGUAAAGCGCACGUAGGCGGCUUGUUAAGUCGGAUGUGAAAGCCCCGGGCUCAACCCGGGAAGUGCAUACGAAACUGGCGAGCUUGAAUAUGGAAGAGGGUCGCGGAAUUCCCGGUGUAGAGGUGAAAUUCGUAGAUAUCGGGAGGAACACCAGUGGCGAAGGCGGCGACCUGGGCCAAUAUUGACGCUGAGGUGCGAAAGCGUGGGGAGCAAACAGG
rnacentral:rRNA from 1 species